UCAACAUUGGCUGUUUUGCCUGCCAAUCAUGAUGGUCCAUGCACCUGAUUGGUUGAUUUGGGUAUUGAAUAUUUGGAUUUACUACAAGGUCGCAGAGCCCAGCAUCACCCUGAGAAGCAGUGGCCCCAGUUAUCAGCAUUGCAUACAUCAUCCUUAGCCAGGUCCGAAACAGGAGUGUUAACUCCAUGCUCCAUGUUAUGGUACUGACCAAUUAAGGAACUCAAACUGUCAGAUAUCCAACAGCCGAAAGUAGGUGUGUACCUGGCAAGGUGCACUUCUACAUCCUCAGGCAGUGUAAACACUGAUGUGUGUCACUGGAGUGCUGGCAAAAAGAAAGUGUGGGAAUUCCUUGAACCAGGAUUUGAUGAAACCCCAACAGGAACAGUUUAAGACAGUCUGCGAUCAUACUGAGGCGCAACCAACCCAGAUACAGAGCGUCUGCAGGCGCUGUCUUUCACUUCAUAUUUCAGAAAGCUUUGGAUAAAACUUUACAUAAGAAGAGUUUAAAGAAAGUCACGGCAAUUUGAACUGAAGACUGAUUUGGAUACAGAAAGAAGGUGACAGUAAAUGAAAAAGUAUUUUAUAUGGCAGUGACCCUAUCAGCUCAGUUCCAUGUCCACUCAAUAUGUAAUUAUUCCUCUGUUUUUGCGUGGGUUCCAUUCCUGAGAAACCCCUGCGAAUAAUCAAAUUCAUGAGUGCAGAGCUCAUUUAAAAGUAAAUUAAAAAUAAGUUAAAAUUGUGCAAAGUUUAAUUUUGCUGUUAUUUAUUUUUUGGCGCAGAUAGGCGAAUUCACAAUUCCUGAUUCUGCGGAUGCAGAGGAUUUGUUGUAGCAUUUACAAACAACAUAGAGUCAUACUGAUGUCCAGAAUAAGAAAAAGUAGUUCUCAAAAAACUCUUUUUUUCAUUUGCAGACCACACAAGAUUGACUGUGUCAUGGGCCAGAAACCUCCUCCAGAGAUCUCCCAACUGAAUAUAGAAACUAUGGAUAGACCUCUAAAGAGGUUUCCAUUGAUUUUCUGCUAAAGUUUCACUCACACAUUGGUAUAGCCCUCAAGGCAAUUUCUUCUGAUGGGCUCUACCUAACCUGCAGACUCUGUUGUGGGAACUCAAUGAGCCACAGGUCAAUGUUCACAGUGAUAAACCUCUGUGAAAAUUUUCGUGGCUUUUAGAAUAAUCAGUCAAACUCCGGGGUACUAAUCCAUGUUUAUAGGCCACAUUUAUAAUUGUGAGAGGUUGCAUUCCACAGGUGACUCACUUCUGGUCCUAGCAGUGCGUGAACCUAUGAACCAAUGAGAGGCAGGUUUAUUAAACCACAUGGAUCUGUUUUUCAUGCUGCCAAUUUAAAGGUCAGCUUGGUAGGUUGCAGGAAACGUCACAAGCUUGUCUCCAUUUUCAAUGGAAUGACAGGGCGGAAAACCAGGUAGACACAGUUUAUUAAAAAUAACUGCCAGGGAGAUCAGGUUGCAUCUCCACCUGAGGUUGUAACACUGGAAAACUCAAAGGAUUACCAUUAAUAGGGAUAAACAUUUCUCAACAAAGCAAACAUAUAAAAAGCCUUGAAGCCAAAAUUUUUGUUAUAGCUUGCCCCAUUCUCCAUAGUUACCCCAUUUACAGAGAAACAACAUUGAAGCCCUCCUUUGCAAUGAUUGAUUUUAUUUUCAUAAUGUGCAAAUGAUAAUGUGAUCACUUUUAUAAUGUGACAGAUAUGAAUGUUUACUUUCCAGAGUCCCAAGAGUUUUAUGUUGAACAUAAUGAUACAAGUU